GAUGAAGAACGUAGCGAAAUGCGAUAAGUAAUGUGAAUUGCAGAAUUCAGUGAAUCAUCGAAUCUUUGAACGCACAUUGCGCCCAUUAGUAUUCUAGUGGGCAUGCCUGUUCGAGCGUCAUUUCAACCCUUAAGCCUAGCUUAGUAUUGGGAAUCGACUUUACUGUCGUUCCUCAAAUUCAACGGCGGAUUUAUAGCAAUCUCUGAACGUAGUAAUUUUUUUUCUCGUUUUUGAAAUACUAUAAACCUCAGCCGCUAAACCCCCAAUUUCUUAUGGUUGACCUCGGAUCAGGUAGGAAUACCCGCUGAACUUAAGCAUAUCAAUAAGCGGAGGA
rnacentral:misc_RNA from 1 species